rnacentral:rRNA from 1 species
ACACAUGCAAGUCGAACGAUGAUGGGAGCUUGCUCCUGGAUUAGUGGCGAACGGGUGAGUAACACGUGAGUAACCUGCCCUUAACUCUGGGAUAAGCCUGGGAAACUGGGUCUAAUACCGGAUAUGACUCCUCAUCGCAUGGUGGGGGGUGGAAAGCUUUAUUGUGGUUUUGGAUGGACUCGCGGCCUAUCAGCUUGUUGGUGAGGUAAUGGCUUACCAAGGCGACGACGGGUAGCCGGCCUGAGAGGGUGACCGGCCACACUGGGACUGAACACGGCCCAAACUCCUACGGGAGGCAGCAGUGGGGAAUAUUGCACAAUGGGCGCAAGCCUGAUGCAGCGACGCCGCGUGAGGGAUGACGGCCUUCGGGUUGUAAACCUCUUUCAGUAGGGAAGAAGCGAAAGUGACGGUACCUGCAGAAGAAGCGCCGGCUAACUACGUGCCAGCAGCCGCGGUAAUACGUAGGGCGCAAGCGUUAUCCGGAAUUAUUGGGCGUAAAGAGCUCGUAGGCGGUUUGUCGCGUCUGCCGUGAAAGUCCGGGGCUCAACUCCGGAUCUGCGGUGGGUACGUAUCAGGAGGAACACCGAUGGCGAAGGCAGGUCUCUGGGC